rnacentral:rRNA from 1 species
UGCAGUCGGCGAAUGGAUUAAGACUUGCUUUUAUGAAGUUAGCGGCGGACGGGUGAGUAACACGUGGGUGACCUGCCCAUAAGACUGGGAUAACUCCGGGAAACCGGGGCUAAUACCGGAUAACAUUUUGAACCGGAUGGGUCGAAAUUGAAAGGCGGCUUCGGCUGUCACUUAUGGAUGGACCCGGGUCGCAUUAGCUAGUUGGUGAGGUAACGGCUCACCAAGGCAACGAUGCGUAGCCGACCUGAGAGGGUGAUCGGCCACACUGGGACUGAGACACGGCCCAGACUCCUACGGGAGGCAGCAGUAGGGAAUCUUCCGCAAUGGACGAAAGUCUGACUGAGCAACGCCGCGUGAGUGAUGAAGGCUUUCGGGUCGUAAAACUCUGUGUGUUAGGGAAGAACACGUGCUAGUUGAAUAAGCUGGCACCUUGACGGCCCCCUACACCAGAAAGCCACGGCUAACUACGUGCCAGCAGCCGCGGUAAU